rnacentral:tRNA from 1 species
GGAAUUAGCUCAGUGGUAGAGUACAUGCUUAGCAUGCAUGAGGUCCUGGGCUCAAUUCCCAGUACCUCCA